UCGGCCGUCCCUGACUCUGCUCCGCGGUGCAAUGGCGGCCGCUGGCGGGGCCCCGCUGCCCGGCCUGAGCCCCGUGAGGGGACAGAGCGCUGGCACAGCCGCCUCAGCCCGGGCCACCCUGGCCCUGCCCGGGCCCGCGUCCCCCGGAGCGCGCCCUGCAGCGCAGAACGCGGCCUCGGAGCCAGGAGCGGGGCCAAUGCCCUCGGCUCGGCAGCGGCGGCGGGAGGCGGCGGGCGGUGCCCUCAGGGCAGGAAAAAUCAUCCAACUCCUCCCAUCUUUGCCAGAAGCUUUGGUGUUUGGGCAGCCAAAGGCAGGAGGCCUCAGCACCAGGCUCUGGCCUGGAGGGCUCUGCUCCUGCCCACGCUGUGGGGCUGUCCUUGCUGGAGCACCCUGGUCCCUGCCGUGCCCUGGGACACAGAGGGAGUCCUGUCCCAGGUGGCCUUGGCACCUUGGCAGGGAUGUGGCAGCAGCCCCAGAGCAGCUGGAGGAGAAAGGCUCCCAGCAGAGACAGAUUGCACUGGAGGCCAGAGUUGUGUUUGGAGCAGGGAGUGCUGAGAGCUGUGUCUGCCUGUGCUGCCACAGCCUGAGCACAGCCUGGGAACAGCCUGGGAAAAGGGACUGGGGCAUUUCUGGUGCCCAGUGAGAAGAACACAAACUCAGCCAUUCAGCCUGACAGGCCCCUCCACCCAGAGCUCAGCACACACCCUCAGAGCAGCCAGCAGGGAAGGGACAAGAGGAUCCCUGUGGGAUGAGGCUGGAGAGAGCGAGCAGAGGAGCGGCCUCGGGCUGGAGAAAGGCAAAGGGACCAACGUGGUGUCACCAGGGUACCUGUGAGGAGCAGAAUGGACACUUGGAGGCCACAUGGAGGAAGGGGAUGCACAUCUGUCUGCAGCACACCUCCAGGGGAACCUACCUGUGAAAGCUUUCCUUCACUUGUGCACUUGCAGCUGGAUCCUGAAAAACUCCAAACUGCAUUCCACUGAUUUUCAGUGCGUUUACAGAUGGUGUCUGCAGAACAUGCCAUGCUGUACUCGAAGGGGCAUGCUGCCCUGUUCUGAACAACGGAACUGGACUUUCUUCCAAACUUCAGGCCUGGCUGAACUGAGCUCUGGGGUGGCUCCCCUCCCCUCCAAGAGAAGACCCCUCUUGCCUGUCUUCAGCCACCGUGACGGACCAACAGAGAUGCGAAUCCCCUCAUCAAAGAACCAAGAACCCCUCUGGCACCCCUGGCCACCUCCUUCCAGAGACUGGGACUGUACCCCCUCCCAACUCAGGGAAGGGGGAGAACCCGCCCAGAGUAAACAUACCUGGGAGCAUUUGGCCAUGAAAACAAUGG